GGGGCUGGGGCUCAGUGGUAGAGUGCUUGCCUAGCAUGCAUGAGGCCCUGGGUUUGAUCCCCAGCACCGCCA
rnacentral:tRNA from 1 species